rnacentral:rRNA from 1 species
UACGUAGGGGGCUAGCGUUGUCCGGAUUUAUUGGGCGUAAAGAGCGUGUAGGCGGCCAUGUAGGUCCGGUGUGAAAACUCGAGGCUUAACCUCGAGAUGUCAUCGGAAACCAUUUGGCUGGAGUCCGGAAGAGGAGAGUGGAAUUCCUGGUGUAGCGGUGAAAUGCGCAGAUAUCAGGAAGAACACCAAUGGCGAAAGCAGCUCUCUGGGACGGUACUGACGCUGAGACGCGAAAGCGUGGGGAGCAAACAGG